rnacentral:lncRNA from 1 species
GCACCGAAAAAUUCUGCCGAUGGUACAUAUCGUCUCAAGAGAGCGAACGAGUCCAUUCCUAAACUCCGCCAUCUUUUUCAGUUAAAAUUAUUUCAGAGUAAUUUCUACAAAAUUUCAGAUAAAAUUUUUCUCCUACAACACUAUCAGCCACAUUAGAUUUUCAAAAUGUGUUUGCAUUAAUGGUUAGCAUGAAAGUUUUCCUAAAUG